rnacentral:rRNA from 1 species
UGCCCCAGUAACGGCGAGUGAAGCGGCAACAGCUCAAAUUUGAAAUCUGGCCCCCCCGCGGGCCCGAGUUGUAAUUUGCAGAGGAUGCUUUUGGCGCGGCGCCUUCCGAGUGCCCUGGAACGGGACGCCAUAGAGGGUGAGAGCCCCGUCUGGUCGGACGCCCAGCCUCUGUAAAGCUCCUUCGACGAGUCGAGUAGUUUGGGAAUGCUGCUCUAAACGGGAGGUAUAUGUCUUCUAAAGCUAAAUACCGGCCAGAGACCGAUAGCGCACAAGUAGAGUGAUCGAAAGAUGAAAAGCACUUUGAAAAGAGGGUUAAACAGUACGUGAAAUUGUUGAAAGGGAAGCGCUUGUGACCAGACUCGGGCGCGGCGAAUCACCCGGCGUUCUCGCCGGUGCACUUCGACGCGCCCGGGCCAGCAUCAGCUCGCCGCGGGGGACAAAGGCGCCGGGAACGUGGCUCCCCAGGGAGUGUUAUAGCCCGGCGCGCAACGCCCCGCGGCGGACUGAGGUUCGCGCGUCCGCAAGGAUGCUGGCGUAAUGGUCACCAGUGACCCGUCUUGAAACACGGACCAAGGAGUCGUCCUCGUAUGCGAGUGUUCGGGUGUCAAACCCCUACGCGCAAUGAAAGUGAACGCGGGUGAGAGCCUCGCGGCGCAUCAUCGACCGAUCCUGAUGUUCUCGGAUGGAUUUGAGUAGGAGCAUACGGGGCCGGACCCGAAAGAAGGUGAACUAUGCCUGUGUAGGGUGAAGCCAGAGGAAACUCUGGUGGAGGCUCGCAGCGGUUCUGACGUGCAAAUCGAUCGUCAAACAUGGGCAUGGGGGCGAAAGACUAAUCGA